rnacentral:rRNA from 1 species
UACGUAGGGUGCGAGCGUUAAUCGGAAUUACUGGGCGUAAAGCGUGCGCAGGCGGUUUUGUAAGUCUGUCGUGAAAUCCCCGGGCUUAACCUGGGAAUUGCGAUGGAGACUGCAAGGCUAGAAUCUGGCAGAGGGGGGGUAGAAUUCCACGUGUAACAGUGAAAUGCGUAGAGAUGUGGGAGGAACACCGAUGGGCGAAGGCAGCCCCCUGGGUCAAGAUUGACGCUCAUGCACGAAAGGCGUGGGGAGCAAACAGG